UUCACUUUUACUACCAACCAAUCUUUACCAUUCAGUGAUAACAAGCACUUUAUUUUACAUUUCAAUAUUUUAUGAUGUAUUUAAAAGAGUAGUUAUUGUUGCAAACUCCAUUAGAAAUUUGAAUUGAUAUCAGUUUUGGAAAAAGGGAAACGGGGAUGUGAAAAAGGGGGGGGGGGGUUAAAUUUUUCUCAUUUCAGAUUUCAUAAAUAAAAAGAAAAUUUCUUCAAACAUUUUUUUGAGAGGAUUAAUAUUCAACAGCAUAGUCAAUUGCUCAAAGGCAAAAAAAAACUUUUAAGUUCAUUAGACCACAUUCAUUCUGUGUCAGAAACCUAUGCUGUGUCAACUAUUUAAUUUUAGAUUUAAAUAAGAAGAAAUCUUUAAUUGAUUUGUAAAAUCUUGACAUUUGUUUUGUGUAAAAAAACCCAUGUAAUGUCAAAAAUUUGAUCACAAUCCAAAUUCAGAGCUGUAUCACGCUUGAAUGUUUUGUCCAUACUUGCCCCAACUGUUCAGGGUUCGACCUUUGCGGUCGUAUAAAGCUGCGCCCUGCGGAGCACCUGGUU
rnacentral:lncRNA from 1 species